rnacentral:rRNA from 1 species
UGGGGAAUAUUGGACAAUGGGCGAAAGCCUGAUCCAGCCAUGCCGCGUGUGUGAAGAAGGUCUUCGGAUUGUAAAGCACUUUAAGUUGGGAGGAAGGGCAUUAACCUAAUACGUUAGUGUUUUGACGUUACCGACAGAAUAAGCACCGGCUAACUCUGUGCCAGCAGCCGCGGUAAUACAGAGGGUGCAAGCGUUAAUCGGAAUUACUGGGCGUACAGCGCGCGUAGGUGGUUUGUUAAGUUGGAUGUGAAAUCCCCGGGCUCAACCUGGGAACUGCAUUCAAAGCUGACUGGCUAGCGUAUGGUAGAGGGUGGUGGAAUUUCCUGUGUAGCGGUGAAAUGCGUAGAUAUAGGAAGGAACACCAGUGGCGAAGGCGACCACCUGGACUAAUACUGACACUGAGGUGCGAAAGCGUGGGGAGCAAACA